rnacentral:misc_RNA from 1 species
GAUGAAGAACGCAGCGAAAUGCGAUACUUGGUGUGAAUUGCAGAAUCCCGUGAACCAUCGAGUCUUUGAACGCAAGUUGCGCCCGAAGCCACUAGGCCGAGGGCACGCCUGCCUGGGCGUCACACGUCGUUGCCCCCCCAUCUACUCCUUCGGGAUUGCGGGGGGGCGGAUGAUGGCCUCCCGUGCGCCUAGCCGCGCGGUUGGCAUAAAUACCAAGUCCUCGGCGACGCACGCCACGACAAUCGGUGGUUGCGAAACCUCGGUUGCCUGUCGUGUGCGUUCGUCGCGCAUCGAGGGCUCGAAAAAAUGCUCGGCUUCGGCUCGGCUUUCAACGCGACCCCAGGUCAGGCGGGGUUACCCGCUGAAUUUAAGCAUAUCAAUAAGCGGAGGA